rnacentral:rRNA from 1 species
UAUGUGAUCGUCUCUCGCAUAUCAAUAAGCGGAGGAAAAGAAACUAACAAGGAUUCCCCUAGUAACGGCGAGUGAAGCGGGAAGAGCUCAAAUUUGAAAUCUUAAAGGGUUUCCCUUUACGAAUUGUAGUUUAAAGAAGUGUUUUCUGUUGAGGUUUUGGUAAAAGUUCUUUGGAAUAGGACAUCAUAGAGGGUGAGAAUCCCGUAUUUGACCUUUACUUUCAACUUUGUGAUACACUUUCAAAGAGUCGGAUUGUUUGGGAAUGCAGUCCAAAAUGGGUGGUAAAUUUCAUCUAAAGCUAAAUAUUGGCGAGAGACCGAUAGCGAACAAGUACCGUGAGGGAAAGAUGAAAAGAACUUUGAAAAGAGAGUUAAACAGUACGUGAAAUUGUCAAAAGGGAAGCGUUUGACACCAGUGUUGUUUUUCUGAAAAUCAAUUAAAGAACUGUUUAUGCUAAGUUGUUUAGACUUUAUCAGCUAACUGUUUAGUUUUGAGCUUUUCUUUAAUGCACUUUUCAGUUAACAAGUCAACAUCAAUUUCUUUUGCUGCUAAAAAAGCUUGAGGAAGGUGGCUUGAGAUUCGUCUUAAGUGUUUAUAGCCUCUUGCCUAUGCAGUCGGAGAGAUUGAGGUCUGCAGCGUAGAUCCUUCGGGGCUAAAUGCAUUUGUGCUAAGUUAUAGCAUUUUAUAGACAACUUGUUGACUAUGAUUUGUCUCGUAGCUUACUCGCUUAUGUUAUUUUACCUACGCUUAGGAUGUUGACACACGCGCGUGCUCG